CUGGUGGGAAGUGAUUGAAUUAUGGGGGCAGAUCUUUCCUGUGCAGUUCUCAUGAUAGUGAAUGAGUCUCAUGAGAUCUGAUGGUUUUAAAAAGAGGAGAUUCCCUGCACAAGCUCUCUUUUUGCCUGCCACCAUCCAUGUAAGAUGUGACUUGCUCCUCCUUGCCUUCUGCCAUGAUUGUGAGGCCUCCCCAGCCACUUGGAACUGAAGCAAACACUGCUAUUGCCACCUUUUUGCAGAGGAAGGUACUGAGGUGAAGCGACUUGCCCAAACCCUACAAAAAGCACUGUGCCAGGUGCUGGAUUUAUAACCACAAAAACAGAGGGGCAGAAUGUCUGCAUUUCCAGUGGGCAAGACAGACAAUGUGCCUAUCUGUGCAUUUCCUUGUAAAAUCCAGCUUUCGCAAGAGCAUGAACAAAUCAGUUUGGCAAGACCUCCCCACCCUCAACAUCUGAUCACGUGUCUCAUCCUCCAUGAUGCCACAGAACUCUGCAGAGCCACCACCAGCAAGAAGGUCCUCACCAGAUGCAGCCCCUUGACCUUAGACUUCUCACCUUCAAGAACUGUGGUCUUCAGGGCUGUCUCCAUGAAGUCAUCACCAGCCUUCCCAGGCCAGGACUCUCCAUGCCAUCCUUAGCAAGGAGAAGAAAACAAAUACCCGGCAUCCAUUUCCAGGUCCUGCAUGAUGUGAUGGGAGAGGGGAGAACACUUGUGAAGACACCAAGACACACAGACAGAGGGAAGAUGGCCAUGUGCAGAUGGAGGCAGGGACUGGACUUAUGCUGCCACAAGACAAGAAACACCUGGGGCUGCCAGAUGCCGGAAAAGGCAGGGAAGAGUCCUCCUCCAGAGUCUUCAGAGAGAACAUGACUCUGCAAGCACCUUGAUUUCAGACCUCUAGCCUCCAGACCUGUGAGAAUAAAUGUCUAUUGGUGUUAGGCACCCAGUUUGUAAUACUUUGUUACAGCGGCCCUAGGAAACUAAUACACACCAUAACCCAUAUGAGGGCAAGAACCUUAUGUAUUUUUACUCAGCAUUGACUUCCUAACUUCUAUCUCAGAAGAAGUGCCUGGUUAUGUAAUCAUUCCCUGUAACAAUAAUCUUUAAAUAAGGAAGGUGAUUUUCACAAUUACCUAGGGAACUUUUACCAGGUGGGCAAGAGCCCACCAUGAAGUCUACCCCAAGAAGAUUCACCCACAUAUCUAUAAAACAUUUAAUAAAAGAAAGAAAUCUUCCUUCUUAUACCAGAUUUCCGUAGCAAGUAUUACCUGAGUCAUUAGGGCAGCACGCCCUUCUUUCCCUGAAUUAUCUGGGUAAUUGCACAACUGCUUCACUUCGGUUGCAUAGAUAGUUAACUGCGCACAUUUGGUGUGGUAAUUGGGUAGUGGCCAAGGAACACAAAAUACAUGGCUUCAAAGCAGGUGCUUACAAAAAGGACUCCACUUAAACUGAAAUUCAGCCCAAAGAGUUGAUUAGAAACAACUCAAAAGGGUCAGUUAGUGAGUCUGAGCACUGGGGGAAAGGGGCAAAUAAUACUGUCUUUUUCUUUAAACCUAGUCAGAAGAGAAGACAGGAAUAUAUGAAACAGGAGCAAUCACAAGAACGUAACAGAGGACACAGGUGUCAUGUUCAUGGCACAGAACAGAAGCCCCAUAGAGUUCAAAAGACGGGAUGACUGGAGAUAUCCUUGACACAUUGAGCUAAAAAAAAAAACUAAAAACAAGGCCAGGCACAGUGGCUCACACCUGUAAUCCCAGUACUUUGGGAGGCCAAGGUGGGUGGAUCGCCUGCGGUCAGGAGUUCGAGACCAGCCUAGCCAACAUGGCGAAAUCCCAUCUCUACUAAAAUACAAAAAUUAGCUGGGGGUGGUGGCAAGUGCCUGUAAUCCCACCUACUCGGGAGGCUGAGGCAGGAGAAUUGCUUGAACCUGGGAGGUGGAGCUUGCAGUGAGCCGAGAUCACGCCACUACACUUGAGCCUUGAGCCUGGGCGACAGAGCAAGACUCUAUCUCAAAAAUAAAUAAAUAAAUAAAUAAAUAAAUAAACAAAAAAGCA
rnacentral:lncRNA from 1 species